rnacentral:rRNA from 1 species
UACGUAGGGGGCAAGCGUUGUCCGGAUUUAUUGGGCGUAAAGAGCGCGUAGGCGGCCAGGUAGGUCAGCUGUGAAAACUCGAGGCUCAACCUCGAGACGUCGGUUGAAACCACCUGGCUAGAGUCCGGAAGAGGAGAGUGGAAUUCCUGGUGUAGCGGUGAAAUGCGCAGAUAUCAGGAGGAACACCAGUGGCGAAGGCGGCUCUCUGGGACGGUACUGACGCUGAGGCGCGAAAGCGUGGGGAGCGAACAGG